UAGCCGUAAACGAUACUCGCUAGGUGUCGGCCACGGUGCGACCGUUGUCGGUGCCGUAGGGAAGCCGUGAAGCGAGCCACCUGGGAAGUACGGCCGCAAGGCUGAAACUUAAAGGAAUUGGCGGGGGAGGCACAACAACGGGUGGAGCUUGCGGUUUAAUUGGAUUCAACGCCGGAAAUCUUACCGGGACCGACAGCAACAUGAAGGCCAAGCUGAAGACUUUGCCGGAUUAGCUGAGAGGAGGUGCAUGGCGUAGUCGUGU
rnacentral:rRNA from 1 species